GUGAGUUGCUGAGCGGCGGCGCUGCGGGCCCCUACGGGCGGACCCUGCGCGCGGCGCGUGCCGAUCAGUCGCGCUGCAGCAGCUGCGCUGGCGGGAGCCGCUCUCGGUUCCGUGAGGCCUGGGGGCAACAAAAGCAAUUAGGAGAUGAGUUGGUUUCUAGCUUUAGGAAUCUUCAGGCUGGGCUCUGUGUUGUUACCUUGCAAGCAGAAAGAUGUCACGUGAAUUUCGAUGGAAAUGGUAUCAGGUGACUUUCUCUGCUGACUUCAAAUUGUGCAUAGCCAACAGCAGGCUGCUGAUUUCCAGAAGUGUGGGUGUUUAAGAAGGUUGAGAACAGUGUGAAACAUGGAAUUCUAAUGCACUUGGAUAUGCUUUGAUGGCCCCUCCUGCUUCCCAGAAGCACUGCUUGAUUCAAGCGUGCUCGGGGUGAAAUCCUGUGACUUAAUACCAUGCUGAAGGAAAGAAUUCAUGUAAAACGGAGUUGGAGUUGAAAUGAAAACAUGUGAAUAAUGCCUGAAUGAAGUUCAGGUGAGAGUGUGACUCUGAGAAGCAGCCCUUCAGAUACUGUUAGAACUCAGUAUGAGCAUUUAACUGCAGGCAAAUAAAAUUUGAUUAUAGGAUUAAAACACAGAGGGAAACUUGUUUUCUUGCCUAAGUCAGUGUUUAUAAUAAUGGUGGAAGCUGUUCUGCUCAUUUCCACUGUAGUGCUUGUAUAAAUAAAAUCCUCAAUUUGUA